rnacentral:rRNA from 1 species
AAACGCUUGAAGUCAGUCAUGCCCUUGGGGAUUCAGCCUCGCUUCUGCUUGGUGUACUUUCCUUUGGGUGGGUCAACAUCAGUUUUGGUCAGAGGAAAAAGGCUUGGGGAAGGUGGCAGCAUUCGUGCUGUGUUAUAGCCCCAUGUUGUAUACUUUGACUGGGACUGAGGAUCGCAGCAUGCCUUCAUGGCAGGGGUUUUUGCCCACUUACAUGCUUAGGAUGUCGGCAUAAUGGCUUUAAG